AGACCCCCCUUACACAGACAGACAGACAGACAGACGGGGCCUUGCUGUCUCUAGAGAUGAGUAGAUGAGGUCCAGAGUACUGAGCUGCCUCCCGGAUGUACUGGAGUCGGUGUUGGUGUGUGCACCUCGCUAACCAGUCCUCCUCCGCUAACAUAUUCCAGCCCAGUGAACCUCUGAGCGCCCAGGACUAUCUGACUGACUGCAGGACUCCAACUCGGGGGAGCAAAUAUUAGUCUUUGUGGAUCUUAUCUGAGCUGAGAGCGCAUACAUUAUGAACAGUCCGGGCCGGCGCUGCUCGGUUCAGAGGCGGCGAGCUGGUGGCGACGUUCUCCUUUAGCGCCAUUACUUCCACUGGAGGACGUCUGAGUGGAGCUGAGAGGGAAGCUAACACUUCCAGCUGUAAAGGACUGGAGGUAGCUGAGAGGAAGCAUCGUCUGUGAUCUGGAUGAGGCUCCCCUUCAGCCGGGCCUUCCCUUCAUUUAGCUUCACUAUUCAUUACUGACCGCUGUAAGAGGACAUGGCUCAGGGGUGAUGUCAGGAUUAGAUCAGCUGAUGACCGCCCCCCUCCACCACCUCCAUCUCCCUCUCCUUGCCGGGGACUCGCAUCCACCCGGCUGUUAUUAUUUGUCUCCUGCUGAAGUGACUGCAGCUUAAAAAAUGAUCAGCAUGCAUAAAGUAACCAUGUGUUGUAUGGAGAAAGAGACAGAGAGAGAAAGAAAAAAACUAAAUAAAAAACACACACAAAAUGAUAUUUACUAUUUACUGUCGCUGACAUUUUCUUCCUGCUUCGAAUUCUCUACCCGUGUUUGGAUAAACCGGUUUGUGAAAAAAAGUUUAACUUAGUUCAGUUCAAUUCAAAAUUAUUGUACUGAUCCCAAAGGGAAACUAAACUCUUCAUAGAGGAAAGGUUUCUAUUUAAAAGGUCUUUAUUUAUUUACCUUUUUGUUCAUAAAGCACCAUUUUCAGUCCACUAUAGAGCUAUGAACUAAUUUAUGUUGGUUCUAAGAUUAAAAUCCCAAAUGAGAAACGUUUGUGGCUGUAGCGUGACAAAAUGUGGAAACCAGGGCUGCAGCUAACAAUUAUUUAACUACUCGAUUAUUUUACCGAUUAUUUGGAUGAGCAGUCGAUUAAUCUGAUAAAGGCUGAUCUGGAGAUUAUUUUUCGGAUUAACUGAUUAGUAAUCGGAUAGGAAAAAGUUCUUAAUAGGAAAUUAACAUUUUUGUGCUUCAUAAUUUGAAUCAGGUGAAGCUAAAAACCGACAUCUGAGGAGUUCUGGGUGGAACAUAUUUACAGUUUAAAAGUUUGUGAAUCUUAAAUGCAAAAUGUAUAGGUUUUUAUACAGUUUUGGCUUCAUUACUGCCGUGAGUGUGUUGUUCUUUCAGCAGACAGCUUUCUUUAACGAUUAAUUGAUUACUAGAUCAGUUGACGAUCAUUUCAAUAAUCGAUUAAUCGCGAUUAAAUGGACUGUUUCAGUCCUAGUUUAAACACAGCCGCAGUAUGAUGUAUGCCAAGCUUUGCGGCAGGACAUAAUUAUGGAGCAGAAGAUUGAGGUCGGCUUUCUUAGUUAAUGUCACCAGGCAGUGACAUUAACUGCUGUCACUGCCUGGUGAAAACGUCGACUGGCGUUUUUUUCCACAACUUUACUCCAUUAAUCAUCCCUAAACUCUGAUGAAAGAAGCGUGAAUCCAGUCAUACAACACAUGCUCCACCGGAUUACACAUAAAUCUAUCCGGAGUGUAAACAACUGCCACACUCCUUCACUCAGAUAAGAAAACUUCCUUAAAAAAAACACA